rnacentral:rRNA from 1 species
AUGAACGCUGGCGGCGUGCCUCAUACAUGCAAGUCGCACGAAACUUCUUUAUCACCGAGUGCUUGCACUCACCGAUAAAGAGUUGAGUGGCGAACGGGUGAGUAACACGUGGGCAACCUGCCCAAAAGAGGGGGAUAACACUUGGAAACAGGUGCUAAUACCGCAUAACCAUAGUUACCGCAUGGUAACUAUGUAAAAGGUGGCUAUACUACCGCUUUUGGAUGGGCCCGCGGCGCAUUAGCUAGUUGGUAGGGUAAAGGCUUACCAAGGCAAUGAUGCGUAGCCGAAUUGAGAGGUUGAUCGGCCACAUUGGGACUGAGACACGGCCCAAACUCCUACGGGAGGCAGCAGUAGGGAAUCUUCCACAAUGGGCGAAAGCCUGAUGGAGCAACGCCGCGUGGGUGAAGAAGGUCUUCGGAUCGUAAAACCCUGUUGUUAGAGAAAAAAGUGCGUGAGAGUAACUGUUCACGUUUCGACGGUAUCUAACCAGAAAGCCACGGCUAACUACGUG